rnacentral:rRNA from 1 species
CACAGAGUUAGCCGUGGCUUAUUCAUAGGGUACCGUCAUUAUCUUCCCCUACAAAAGGAGUUUACAAUCCGAAAACCUUCAUCCUCCACGCGGCGUCGCUGCGUCAGGCUUUCGCUCAUUGCGCAAAAUUCCCCA